UACAGAGGUCCCGAGCGUUGUUCGGAUUCACUGGGCGUAAAGGGUGCGUAGGUGGCCUAAAAAGUUUGAUGUGAAAGCUCAGGGCUUAACCCUGAAAUGGCAUUGAAUACUGUUGGGCUGGAGGUUUGGAGGGGGGACUGGAAUUCUUGGUGUAGCAGUGAAAUGCGUAGAUAUCAAGAGGAGCACCAGUGGCGAAGGCGAGUCCCUGGACAACACCUGACACUGAGGCACGAAAGCCGGGGGAGCAAACAGG
rnacentral:rRNA from 1 species